CUUGUAAUUGACUCAUUUGGAGCUUGCAAAUGAUCUUUAAGACUAGGCUCACCUUGUUCUCAUCAUUCCCCAUCUUCUCAAAAGGAUUCGAUCUCGAAUCUCCACUUGCAUCAAAGGGAAAAAGUUUAUUACCAUUAUCA